rnacentral:lncRNA from 1 species
UGUUAAAAUAAUUUGAGGAAAACAGUGGGUUAAAGAUAAUUUAGGCUGGGCCUGGUGGCUCACACCUGUAAUCCUAGCAUUUUGGGAGGUUGAGGCAGGAGGAUGACUUGAGGUCAGGAGUUCAAGAUCAGCCUGGGCAAUAUGGUGAAACGCUGUCUCUACCAAAACUACAAAAAAUUAGCUGGGCAUGGUGGCGGGCUACUCAGGAGGGUGAGGUGAGAGGAUUGCUUGAGCCUGGGAGGCGGAGGUUGCAAUAAGCCGAGUUUGCGCCACUGCACUCCAGCCUGAGUGACAGAGCCAGAGUCUGUCUCAAAACAAAUGAACAAACAAAAACAAACAAACAAACAGAUAGGUUAAAAAAUACCUUUGUUUUUGUGUGUAGGUUUGUUUUAAAUUCAGGACUCCUUGGAGGUUUUAACAUAUUCAUGUAUACUUCAGUAAAUUGCCCAACUUAUUUGACAAUAGAGUCACAUUUUUAAGGCACUCCUGGCACUCACGCUUAUGAAAUGUAUUUUAGGAAACUCUGCUUUACAGUUUUCUUGCAAGCAUUUGAUUCUCCUCUUACAGUAGAGUCCAGUCACAAAGGGUCUGAACAGGCUCUUUCCAGGGAGUCAUUCUUGGGACGAUGGGAGGCCAGCAGUGUGGAGGCCCAGGAUCUCCACGCAAAAGUUGCGAUUUCUGAUCUGAAGCCCAAAAAAGGAUAGGAAUGCAAGGUGCAGAGUGGCCUAGUUUAAGAGAAAGCACAUCAUAUUUAAUACUUAACAGCUAUUAAUUUAAGCUAGUCAGCUUCUUAUUUGAAAUAUUCCUUCAUGGUUUUCUUUUUUAAAAAAAUGUAUUACAAAAUAUCUUCCUAGUCACUAAACCAGUUGAAUUCUGGAAAGAGGGAGAAUAUUCCCAGCUUUUGUGUAAAAGACAAUGA